GAUGAACGCUAGCUACAGGCUUAACACAUGCAAGUCGAGGGGCAGCAUUUCAGUUUGCUUGCAAACUGGAGAUGGCGACCGGCGCACGGGUGAGUAACACGUAUCCAACCUGCCGAUAACUCGGGGAUAGCCUUUCGAAAGAAAGAUUAAUACCCGAUGGUAUAAUCAGACCGCAUGGUCUUGUUAUUAAAGAAUUUCGGUUAUCGAUGGGGAUGCGUUCCAUUAGGCAGUUGGUGAGGUAACGGCUCACCAAACCUUCGAUGGAUAGGGGUUCUGAGAGGAAGGUCCCCCACAUUGGAACUGAGACACGGUCCAAACUCCUACGGGAGGCAGCAGUGAGGAAUAUUGGUCAAUGGGCGCAGGCCUGAACCAGCCAAGUAGCGUGAAGGAUGACUGCCCUAUGGGUUGUAAACUUCUUUUAUAUGGGAAUAAAGUUUUCCACGUGUGGAAUUUUGUAUGUACCAUAUGAAUAAGGAUCGGCUAACUCCGUGCCAGCAGCCGCGGUAAUACGGAGGAUCCGAGCGUUAUCCGGAUUUAUUGGGUUUAAAGGGAGCGUAGGUGGACAGUUAAGUCAGUUGUGAAAGUUUGCGGCUCAACCGUAAAAUUGCAGUUGAUACUGGCUGUCUUGAGCACAGUAGAGGUGGGCGGAAUUCGUGGUGUAGCGGUGAAAUGCUUAGAUAUCACGAAGAACUCCGAUUGCGAAGGCAGCUCACUGGACUGCAACUGACACUGAUGCUCGAAAGUGUGGGUAUCAAACAGGAUUAGAUACCCUGGUAGUCCACACAGUAAACGAUGAAUACUCGCUGUUUGCGAUAUACAGUAAGCGGCCAAGCGAAAGCAUUAAGUAUUCCACCUGGGGAGUACGCCGGCAACGGUGAAACUCAAAGGAAUUGACGGGGGCCCGCACAAGCGGAGGAACAUGUGGUUUAAUUCGAUGAUACGCGAGGAACCUUACCCGGGCUUAAAUUGCAUUUGAAUAUAUUGGAAACAGUAUAGCCGUAAGGCAAAUGUGAAGGUGCUGCAUGGUUGUCGUCAGCUCGUGCCGUGAGGUGUCGGCUUAAGUGCCAUAACGAGCGCAACCCUUAUCUUUAGUUACUAACAGGUCAUGCUGAGGACUCUAGAGAGACUGCCGUCGUAAGAUGUGAGGAAGGUGGGGAUGACGUCAAAUCAGCACGGCCCUUACGUCCGGGGCUACACACGUGUUACAAUGGGGGGUACAGAAGGCAGCUACCUGGUGACAGGAUGCUAAUCCCAAAAGCCUCUCUCAGUUCGGAUCGAAGUCUGCAACCCGACUUCGUGAAGCUGGAUUCGCUAGUAAUCGCGCAUCAGCCAUGGCGCGGUGAAUACGUUCCCGGGCCU
rnacentral:rRNA from 1 species